ensembl:lncRNA
UAGUAAAUAAGAAUUUAAAAAAAACGAAGAAUCUGGCAACUUUUAUUUUAUUUUCACAUUGUUAUAUGUAUAUACUAAUAACAUUAGUUAACAUUUUUUUUGUGCUUUUAGUUUUAAUUAAUAAAUUACAAUAUUACUGUUUUUACUUCUUUUUUUUAAUCAAAUAUAUGCAGCAUUGUUGAGCAUAGAAGACUUCUUUAAAUAGUAGUGUACUUUAUGAACCGUUUAACUUUAUUAACGUCACACAGACUUUAGUUUGUUACAUGUUUUGAUGACAGAGUGCAUGAUUACCAUUUUAAAAACGACCAUGAGAUGCAGAUGGCUGUUACGUGAUUCAUAAUCUACAUGAAGUUUCAACUAUAAAUAUUUAAUAUCAAACUGGGUGACAAUAUUCAAUGUGUAUGCUCAUACUCAUUCUAUUAUACAUUAUUCAACAACUUUGGAGUGUUUGGAAUGGUGGGUAAGUUUUAUAUCCAACUAUAAAUAGGCACGAGGUUCUCUUGAAAAAAACACAUGGUAGACCAUUAGGAAUUGAAUGACUAAUUCAGCUCACUUCUGAACAACCACUUUCAUUACUUGGAGGUUUGAUAAGUUCUAAACAGAUCAAUGCAAUUGGAGCAUGUCUUCAACCUUUGCUGGCAUGAAAAAAAGAGGAAUGUGAAUGAGGGAAAACAGCAGGGCUAUUUUUGUACCCAACUAUAAAAGGACACAAUUCUCUAAGUCAAAAAGAUGCUUGGUAGAUCUUGGAGAACAUCACUAUUAAAAUGAUCAAAAUAGAACCAAAAAGAGUUAAACUGAACUAAACUUACUUCUUGUAAGAUUACUUUACAAUAAGGUUAAAUUUGUUAACAUUAGCCAAUGCAUUAGCUAUCAUGAACUAACAUUUUACAGCCUUUUAGUGUUGACUUAUAAACAUAAAACUGUUUAUAGUUUUAUCAUGUUUGCUCAUAAUACAUUAAUGUUAAUGAAUGUAGCUUGAAAUGUUACAAAUGUGUUAGAAAUGUGGUAGAAAUGAACAUUACCUACAGUAGAGUAACCAAUGCAGUAAAAGUACUGGUCACUGUUAAUGUUACCUAAUAGAUUAAUGUUAUGUAACAGAAGUGGCGAUAGAUCCUUUUUUCCAUAUUGUAAUUUAUAUCCAACCAUGAAUGUAUAGCCAACUGUUGUUUCACUGGAAGAAUAAUUUUGAUAUUUUAAUUAAAAAUGAUAAGGUAAAAAGACCAAAAAAACCUUGUACAUAGAUGAACUGUUCACAAUAAGAUCAACAGCAAGCAUUGAAAAAAUAGGGUAAAAUUUCAUUUCAUGCCAGCUUCAUGCAAAUAAACUGAACCUUUGUGCAAACUGUUAGUAGUGUCUUUUUCAGCCUCAUCUAGAAUAAAAACAGAUGU